GGAUCCGUAGUGCAAUGGUAGCGCGUUUGACUCCAGAUCAAAAUAUUGCGUGUUCGAUUCACGUUGGGUUCA